GACGAACGCUGGCGGCGUGCUUAACACAUGCAAGUCGAACGGAAAGGCCCUGCUUUUGUGGGGUGCUCGAGUGGCGAACGGGUGAGUAACACGUGAGUAACCUGCCCUUGACUUUGGGAUAACUUCAGGAAACUGGGGCUAAUACCGGAUAGGAUCUCCUGCUGCAUGGUGGGGGUUGGAAAGUUUCGGCGGUUGGGGAUGGACUCGCGGCUUAUCAGCUUGUUUGUGGGGUAGUGGCUUACCAAGGCUUUGACGGGUAGCCGGCCUGAGAGGGUGACCGGCCACAUUGGGACUGAGAUACGGCCCAGACUCCUACGGGAGGCAGCAGUGGGGAAUAUUGCACAAUGGGCGGAAGCCUGAUGCAGCAACGCCGCGUGCGGGAUGACGGCCUUCGGGUUGUAAACCGCUUUCGCCUGUGACGAAGCGUGAGUGACGGUAAUGGGUAAAGAAGCACCGGCUAACUACGUG
rnacentral:rRNA from 1 species